rnacentral:rRNA from 1 species
UGUUUCGGCAAGGGGGUCAUCCCGACUUACCAACCCGAUGCAAACUGCGAAUACCGGAGAAUGUUAUCACGGGAGACACACGGCGGGUGCUAACGUCCGUCGUGAAGAGGGAAACAACCCAGACCGCCAGCUAAGGUCCCAAAGUCAUGGUUAAGUGGGAAACGAUGUGGGAAGGCCCAGACAGCCAGGAUGUUGGCUUAGAAGCAGCCAUCAUUUAAAGAAAGCGUAAUAGCUCACUGGUCGAGUCGGCCUGCGCGGAAGAUGUAACGGGGCUAAACCAUGCACCGAAGCUGCGGCAGCGACACUAUGUGUUGUUGGGUAGGGGAGCGUUCUGUAAGCCUGCGAAGGUGUGCUGUGAGGCAUGCUGGAGGUAUCAGAAGUGCGAAUGCUGACAUAAGUAACGAUAAAGCGGGUGAAAAGCCCGCUCGCCGGAAGACCAAGGGUUCCUGUCCAACGUUAAUCGGGGCAGGGUGAGUCGACCCCUAAGGCGAGGCCGAAAGGCGUAGUCGAUGGGAAACAGGUUAAUAUUCCUGUACUUGGUGUUACUGCGAAGGGGGGACGGAGAAGGCUAUGUUGGCCGGGCGACGGUUGUCCCGGUUUAAGCGUGUAGGCUGGUUUUCCAGGCAAAUCCGGAAAAUCAAGGCUGAGGCGUGAUGACGAGGCACUACGGUGCUGAAGCAACAAAUGCCCUGCUUCCAGGAAAAGCCUCUAAGCAUCAGGUAACAUCAAAUCGUACCCCAAACCGACACAGGUGGUCAGGUAGAGAAUACCAAGGCGCUUGAGAGAACUCGGGUGAAGGAACUAGGCAAAAUGGUGCCGUAACUUCGGGAGAAGGCACGCUGAUAUGUAGGUGAAGUCCCUCGCGGAUGGAGCUGAAAUCAGUCGAAGAUACCAGCUGGCUGCAACUGUUUAUUAAAAACACAGCACUGUGCAAACACGAAAGUGGACGUAUACGGUGUGACGCCUGCCCGGUGCCGGAAGGUUAAUUGAUGGGGUCAGCGCAAGCGAAGCUCUUGAUCGAAGCCCCGGUAAACGGCGGCCGUAACUAUAACGGUCCUAAGGUAGCGAAAUUCCUUGUCGGGUAAGUUCCGACCUGCACGAAUGGCGUAAUGAUGGCCAGGCUGUCUCCACCCGAGACUCAGUGAAAUUGAACUCGCUGUGAAGAUGCAGUGUACCCGCGGCAAGACGGAAAGACCCCGUGAACCUUUACUAUAGCUUGACACUGAACAUUGAGCCUUGAUGUGUAGGAUAGGUGGGAGGCUUUGAAGUGUGGACGCCAGUCUGCAUGGAGCCGACCUUGAAAUACCACCCUUUAAUGUUUGAUGUUCUAACGUUGACCCGUAAUCCGGGUUGCGGACAGUGUCUGGUGGGUAGUUUGACUGGGGCGGUCUCCUCCUAAAGAGUAACGGAGGAGCACGAAGGUUGGCUAAUCCUGGUCGGACAUCAGGAGGUUAGUGCAAUGGCAUAAGCCAGCUUGACUGCGAGCGUGACGGCGCGAGCAGGUGCGAAAGCAGGUCAUAGUGAUCCGGUGGUUCUGAAUGGAAGGGCCAUCGCUCAACGGAUAAAAGGUACUCCGGGGAUAACAGGCUGAUACCGCCCAAGAGUUCAUAUCGACGGCGGUGUUUGGCACCUCGAUGUCGGCUCAUCACAUCCUGGGGCUGAAGUAGGUCCCAAGGGUAUGGCUGUUCGCCAUUUAAAGUGGUACGCGAGCUGGGUUUAGAACGUCGUGAGACAGUUCGGUCCCUAUCUGCCGUGGGCGCUGGAGAACUGAGGGGGGCUGCUCCUAGUACGAGAGGACCGGAGUGGACGCAUCACUGGUGUUCGGGUUGUCAUGCCAAUGGCACUGCCCGGUAGCUAAAUGCGGAAGAGAUAAGUGCUGAAA